GGGGGUAGUCUUAUACAGCAACUGUGCCAGGAGCCAGGCUUACGGAAAAGUUUUUGCAGGCGAGAAAAAGGAAGGGGAUCUCAUCUCAAACCAGUCCACCAUUUAUUGUUCAAUGACAAGUAGAAAAUUUCAUCUGUGUGAGAAGGACUUUAUCGGUUGGUAGUAGGGGAAUUCAGAUGCCUACCUUUCAUCAUCUUCAUUAUCACGGUUGAUAUCACCACAGUACAUGUCAUCGUUCUGCACAAGAGAAUCCUCGCAGGAAAGAAGAAUGCAACACAUUGUUCUCAUGGUUUCCUUUGACCACUUGCUCUAUCACUAUGGAGAUCUCCAGCAGAAGUAGGGAAUGCCAACCAGAACCUCUUCAGGACUUCACUCAUCCCCACUUCCAACCACAGUUGCGAUGCUCCUUCACUACUGCACAAUGAGGAGGUGUAUGGCUGCUCAAGCAGAUGCUCAUCUCAGAUGUCACCAUCCUUUUAUUACCCAUCCGAAGCUCCUCUUCAGAUGUGUCUGGAACAGGAUGGGUGGUAAUUCCAAACCAACAAUCCAGGUGGACUAAUUGUUUAAUCAAGUUACUGCUAAUGAAGUCAAUUAUAGGA